CCUACGGGAGGCUGCAGUGAGGAAUAUUGGUCAAUGGACGAGAGUCUGAACCAGCCCAGUAGCGUGAAGGAUGACUGCCCUAUGGGUUGUAAACUUCUUUUAUAAAGGAAUAAAACGAGGCACGUGUGCCUUUUUGCAUGUACUUUAUGAAUAAGGAUCGGCUAACUCCGUGCCAGCAGCCGCGGUAAUACGGAGGAUCCGAGCGUUAUCCGGAUGUAUUGGGGUUAAAGGGAGCGUAGAUGGGUUGUUAAGUCAGUUGUGAAAGUUUGCGGCUCAACCGUAAAAUUGCAAUUGAUACUGGCAGUCUUGAGUACAGUUGAGGUAGGCGGAAUUCGUGGUGUAGCGGUGAAAUGCUUAGAUAUCACGAAGAACCCCGAUUGCGAAGGCAGCUUACUAAACUGUGACUGACAUUGAUGCUCGAAAGUGUGGGUAUCAAACAGGAUUAGAUACCCGGGUAGUC
rnacentral:rRNA from 1 species